rnacentral:rRNA from 1 species
UGCCAGCAGCCGCGGUAAUACGGAGGGUGCGAGCAUUAAUCGGAUUUACUGGGCGUAAAGCGUGCGUAGGCGGUUUGUUAAGUCAGAUGUGAAAGCCCAGGGCUCAACCUUGGAAUUGCAUUUGAUACUGGCAGACUAGAGUUUUGGAGAGGGUAGUGGAAUUCCAGGUGUAGCGGUGAAAUGCGUAGAUAUCUGGAGGAACAUCAGUGGCGAAGGCGACUACCUGGCCAAAAACUGACGCUGAGGUACGAAAGCGUGGGGAGCAAACAGGAUUAGAUA